UCGCCUCUUGAGAAUAUAAGAGGUCUAGCCUGCCCAGUGACUUAGUUCAACGGCCGCGGUAUCCUAACCGUGCGAAGGUAGCGUAAUCACUUGUUCUUUAAAUGAGGACUAGUAUGAACGGCAUCACGAGGGUUACACUGUCUCCUUUUUCUAAUCAGUAAAACUAAUCUCCCCGUGAAGAAGCUGGGAUAUUCAUAUAAGACGAGAAGACCCUAUGGAGCUUUAAACUAAUUAACACUUGCUGCAUUUUUUUAUCUUCCAGAACACCCCCAUUAAGCAUAGCAUCAUGAUUAAAUAGUUUUAGAUUGGGGUGAUCGCGGAGUAAAAAACAACCUCCACGCCGAAAGGAUCUUUUCCCCUGAGCAGAAAGCUACAACUUUAAGCACUAAAAAAUUAACGUUUAUUGACCCAAUAGUAUUGAUCAACGAACCAAGUUACCCUAGGGAUAACAGCGCAAUCCACUUCAAGAGCUCCUAUCGACAAGUGGGUUUACGACCUCGAUGUUGGAUCAGGGUAUCCCAGUGGUGCAGCCGCUACUAACGGUUCGUUUGUUCAACGAUUAAAACCCU
rnacentral:rRNA from 1 species